CAUUGAAUUAUUAUUAUUUAAUUACUUUUCAUGAUUAAUUAUGUUUAAUUAUAACGGUCUUGUAAUUGGAAUUUAUGGUCAUUUGUAUGUACGCAUUCGGGAUUUACACAUUGUGAAAUUAUUCAGUACACAUCAUAGAAUUGUUAUCGUUUUUGGCUGCACUAUCGGUGCGAAAACAAGUUUUCGCGUUCAAAUCUUGCAGAGGCCGCGCGUUGCUGCCGACUACAUUACUCGGCUGUCAAAAUUGAACGGGAACCCGCAGGAAAGCCAUUUUUGCAUUAAAUUGGCUGUAAGAAUUGAACGGGAAUUUGCAGGACCACCAUUUUUUUAUUAAAUUGGCUGUAAAAAUUGAACGGGAAUUUGCAGGAGGGCCAUUUUUGCAUUAAAUUGGCUGUAAAAAUUGAACGGGAAUUUGCAGGAGGGCCAUUUUUGCAUUAAAUUGGCUGUAAAAAUUGAACGGGAAUUUGCAGGACCACCAUUUUUUUAUUAAAUUGGCUGUAAAAAUUGAACGGGAAUUUA